rnacentral:rRNA from 1 species
UACGUAGGGGGCAAGCGUUGUCCGGAAUCAUUGGGCGUAAAGAGCGCGUAGGCGGCCCGGUAAGUCUGCUGUAAAAGUCAAAGGCUUAACCUUUGAAAGUCAGUGGAUACUGCCGGGCUAGAGUCCGGAAGAGGCGAGUGGAACUCCUGGUGUAGCGGUGGAAUGCGCAGAUAUCAGGAAGAACACCAACGGCGAAGGCAGACUCGCUGGGACGGAACUGACGCUGAGGAGCGAAAGCGUGGGGAGCGAACAGG